CCUACGGGAGGCAGCAGUGGGGAAUAUUGGGCAAUGGGCGCAAGCCUGACCCAGCAACGCCGCGUGAAGGAAGAAGGCUCUCGGGUUGUAAACCUCUUUUCUGAGGGACGAAGAAAGUGACGGUACCUCAGGAAUAAGCCACGGCUAACUACGUGCCAGCAGCCGCGGUAAUACGUAGGUGGCAAGCGUUAUCCGGAUUUAUUGGGUGUAAAGGGCGUGUAGGCGGGUAAGCAAGUCAGAUGUGAAAACUCAGGGCUCAACCCUGAGACUGCAUUUGAAACUGUUAUUCUUGAGUGCUGGAGAGGGAAUCGGAAUUCCGUGUGUAGCGGUGAAAUGCGUAGAUAUACGGAGGAACACCAGUGGCGAAGGCGGAUUGCUGGACAGUAACUGACGCUGAGGCGCGAAAGCGUGGGGAGCAAACAGGAUUAGAUACCCGAGUAGUC
rnacentral:rRNA from 1 species